CUAACAUUGUUGCAGCAUAGAUUUAAGGAGAAACUCAGGUGUAAGUUCCCAAUUUUAUUUCUAGAACAGUAUAGGCUCAUGUGCCAACAUGCUCCCUCAAUCAUUUCUGUGUUCAAAUAAAGAAGGGGAAGCUGAGCAGCUAUCAUGGCAGCCAGUUCACAUAGUUGAUUAAGUUAAGUGAUAGAGGGUUAGGCUAGCUAUUUAGUCGUUGGUGUGGUAGCUAAUUAGAAUGGUAUGAAAGGGGAGAAUGUACAUUGUAUGAAUACGAUUGAUGUCCUUGAUUUCAAUCAAUGAGUAUCACAAAGAAGUUUGAGGCUUCCAUUCCAUAAGUGGGAGGUGAAGAGUUGAAGAUUUCUUUAUUGUUCUACUGUUUACUGCAUAGCAAUGAGAAAAUGUUCUGGUAAAUGUCUGAACUUGUCACUCUAGCGGAAGAUGUCGACUAUACUUCUUUGACAGGGAGACAUACAUUACUUUAUGGGAUCUGUUACUUUGAGAUCUCUGUUUGUAACCAUAUGUAGCUACCUCAAGUCAUAACCUUGUAAUACUAAUACUGAUUUCAGUACACAAAUCAUAUAACAGAAAAGUCCUUACUGGUCGUUUGAGCUACUAUUGGCAUGGCUUCUGAUUUGUGAAGGCCUCAGCUGAUCUCUCUGCCGGUUAGAUUCUCUGCUACCAAAAUACAAGUGUAAAGACAAACAAUACACUCGCUCAAUCUAUAAUCCAACCCAUCUGAAGCAAAUUUAAUUUAUGAUGCUUAUACUUCUAAUGUUCCCCUAUACACUUUCUACUUUCACUGAUACAGUACUAAAACUUCAGUUUCUGCUUAAUUUAGUGAUCUUCAAUUUCUGCAUUUGCAAUGUAGUUAGGCAUUUUGGGGUGGCAUAACAAGUGGAAGAGCGCUCUUCAAUUCUCAUUCCUAUUGAUCAUAACGGAAAAUCAAAGAGGCAAUCAGGUAGAAUCAUCAGUUUCGGAACCCUUAAUAUCAUGAACUAACUUCUUAAACAUUUGUACUGCUUGCGUGAUAUGCAUGUAAAAUCUUGUACACCUACAAAUGAGUUAAGCCAUAUGUAAAUUCCACAGUAAAUGUGUGUAUGCAUUUUGUUGCAGUUGAUGAUGGAAAUUCUAUUAUAGGUAGCUUACUGAGAAAUGUAUAUGAUAAAAGGGCCUAAAAAGCUCCCUCAAGCUGCAUCAAAUUUAUGGAACAGAAAGAUUAAGGUAAAUAACUAAAUAUCUAAAUAUCCAAAUUCUUUCUAUAGGGACCAUACAUGAAACUACGAGUAUGAAUGUUCACCAAACAGUUAUUCGUUAUCCUCUGCCUAGCUGUGGCAUUAAAUCUCACAACUAAUAUGUAAUGAUUUCAUCGAACUAGAAUCUCUUAUCACAAGUUGCAUAAUUCAAAUAACAAAUAUGUCGUCUGAUUGCAUAAUAUGAUACCAAAAUAACUGUUGUCGUCCUAUAACUUUAUGGCCAUAGUGAUCUGAUAAAUGAUUGGGACUGAAGUCGGUCAGAUGUUACAAUUUCAAGAACAAGUUGACCACAUUCAUGCCGGAAAAAUAAGACUCAAGGCACCAUUUUCUAAGGUUGAGAUUCUUGGAUGAGAUUCAGAUAUUUUUUGUUACGUUGUCGACAUGAUGACUAACCAACCCACACAUGACACAUGCACGUCGUAUAUUCAUGAUAGUCAUUCCAAAUCAUAUAUGUUUGAAGCAACAGAAACCAACAACGAGAAUCCCUACCUCACUUUACUACUACUUUCUAGGAGUGAGCUUUCACUAUUUGUCGGCACACAUUUCUAGUCCAGUUAGCUAGCUUUUCUUCCUUUUCAGCCAAACUUCAAAUGGAUGAUACGCAACGUUCUCCCUUGCUGAGCAUCAAGGCUUCACUGGAACCCGACUAUGCUCCGGUGAAGACCUUUCAGGAGGGCAUGUCUGUAUGUUGGAAGGAGUCUGUGAAGCUGUGGAAAGUUGCAGCUCCGGUGGCUUUCGCGGCUCUCUUUCAGUACCUCAUCCAGUCCAUCACCACCAUUUUCAUCGGACAUCUCGGAGAUCUUGAGCUCUCUGCUAUUUCCCUCGCUCAUAAUGUCAUCAACGCCAUCGCUGUUGGCUUCCUGGUUAGUUUGCAUGUCUAUGGGAUCAAAUCCUAUCAAUCAUUGACUCGUAUUGCUUUGUUUGUAUAUGCAUUAUGUGUACUUAUUUAUCUAUGCAUCAUUGUUUGCAUUUGGAGUAUAGUUUCUCUCACGUGUAAAACUCCAAAUUGAUAAGAAGAUAUUUUGAAAUAGUACCUCGUUAGGUUAACUGUCAUUUUCUAGAGUAAAAAUACAUAAAUUACAUUUCACUCACAGAAAAUUAUGGUGGUUUACAUGACUGAAAAUACUAUGACGAUCGACUUGCUGCUGUGUACAGUUAUUUUUUUAUUUUUAUUUUUUUCUGUUCGAAUAACAUGCACAAUCUUCACUGACAUAGUAGGUAUAAGACUAACGUAUACGUACGUUCACAACAACAAAAUGGAGCAAAAACCACACAAAGAGUGUGGCCUUUUGAGGUGUUACAAUCCACAUUUGUGUGACAAUUUUUCCCUCAUCUCCACUAAUACUCACACUUGCCAUGCAUAACAAAAAUUGCAACACCUCUAAAGGCCACAUUCCUUUUGUGGCCUUUGCUCUAUAUUCUUGUUGUGGUUCUUGAUCUUCUUUGCGAAAACGGAAGGUACAAAUUCUAUCUUGAUUAAUUAUCUUGUAACAGUCAGUUCCCAAGUUUCUCAAGCUCCAUUUCUGAUUUUGGAACACCGAAAGUGCUCACUAGGAAGUCACUAGAGGUCACAGAACAUCAAUUUUGAUAGGGAAAAGCUUAAUAACAAUGCAAAUCGAAUUUGCAUAAACUGUAAGGAUUUGACAUAAAUGGGAGAAAGGGGCAAAAUAAUUUACUCCAUUACUAGAUGUCUAGAUGCAGAGAUAUGAAAUAUGUCUUGGACACACGCAUGUUUAUGGUAUCUUUCUUCAUGCAAGAGAGAGAGAGAGAGAGGUCUUUUCAUGGCGUGCUAAUAGCAUGAGGCCUAAAAAUUAAACUUCAUUUGAUGGUUUUGACCUGCAAAUUGUGAACGCAGAGAGGUAUGGCAUAUGCACUUGGAACGCUUUGUGGACAAGCUUAUGGUGCAGGCCAAAUCGACUCACUUGGUAUCUAUAUGCAGCGCUCAUGCAUCAUCCUAACCAUUGCUUGUUUUCUCCUCUUAUCACUUUACAUUUUUGCCACUCCAUUCCUCAAGAUUUUAGGCCAACAAGAAAGUCUAGCCGAGUUUGCUGGAAACUACAGUCUGUUGAUAAUCCCUCAGAUGUUCUCCUUUGCCAUCAAUUUGCCCACCCAAAAGUUCCUUCAGGCUCAGAGCAAGGUCGGCGUCAUUACAUGGAUCUCCUUUGUGGCUCUAGUCACACACACAGGACUCCUUUAUCUUUUCAUUAGCGUACUCGGCUGGGGGGUGAAUGGUGCAGCUGUAGCUUAUAACAUCACAUACUGGGAAGUUGCAGUUGGUCAGUUUGUGUAUGUUGCAUUUUUGUGCAAGGAAGGUUGGAAUGGAUUUUCAUGGUUAGCAUUCAAAGACAUCUGGGAUUUUGCUAAGCUGUCUCUUGCCUCAUGUAUGAUGUUUUGCCUAGAGAUGUGGUAUACUAUGAGUAUGAACAUUUUCGCCGGUCAACUUGAGAAUGCAGUGAUUGCCCUCGGUUCCUUCUCAAUAUGGUAAGUGCAUCGCUAUUAAUUUUGUCCCUUGUUCGUAUUCUUUGUGUUCUAAUUUGUGAUAACGAGUCUAAAGUUCUUUCUGUUUUUCUUUUUUGAUUAGCUUGAACUUUCAAAGUUGGGAAAUCAUGAUUUUGGUUGGAGUGAGUACUGCUAUAAGGUAAAUGUUUCUAUGUUUUUGUACUAAACUAUGAACCAAUGUAGACCUUGGAGAGAAACCAUAAAUCGGCACUCCUAGGCGGAAGAGCCUCUAGGCGGGUCUAGGCGGUAUGAACUGUUUCCAUUUUUCUGGACUUUCUUUGAUAUCUUAUCAUCACAUUGGUAAUUCUCCAGCAUUCGAGUCUCAAAUGAACUUGGAAUGGGGCACCCAAGAGCGGCCAAAUACUCCAUAUGUGUUGCAGUCUUGCUAUCUCUCGUCGUUGGUCUUGUGUCUAUGACUUCUAUCUUCUUAAGUAGAGACUACAUUGCCAAUGUUUUCACAGACAGCAAAGUAAUGCAACAAGCUGUUGCUCAUUUAGCAUACUUUCUCGGCGCAGCCAUGCUUCUUAAUAGUGUUGCAGAAGUUUUGACAGGUAACUUUUAGUGCAGCUAGCUUCUCUUAGAUCAUUUUGUGUUUUUGCCCAAGUUUUCUUUGUGUAACAGAUUCUUGGCUACUUCCAUUAUGCAGGGGUUGCUAGUUGGAGGCGGGAUGGCAAGUGAUGGUAGCUUAUAUAANNNNNNNNNNNNNNNNNNNNNNNNNNNNNNNNNNNNNNNNNNNNNNNNNNNNNNNNNNNNNNNNNNNNNNNNNNNNNNNNNAUGACUUCCAGAACCAACUGGGACACUGAGGUCAGUAGAUCAAGCAGAAUACCAUUUACAGAUUACAAAAGUCUUCCUUUUGGAUAUUGUUGUUCAGCUCAUAGUUGAUUUCUAUAUAUUUCAGGUGGAGCAAACGACAAAGCGCAUAAAGAAAUGGGGGAGCAAAGAAAUAAGAACUGAGAAGAAGAUGGAUUGCUGAUACCAAUAUAUGAAGUUUCCUACAAAAACAUUAACAUGAAAAGCUAACAUUGUUGCAGCAUAGAUUUAAGGAGAAACUCAGGUGUAAGUUCCCAAUUUUAUUUCUAGAACAGUAUAGGCUCAUGUGCCAACAUGCUCCCUCAGUCAUUUCUGUGUUCAAAUAAAGAAGGGGAAGCUGAGCAGCUAUCAUGGCAGCCAGUUCACAUAGUUGAUUAGGUUAAGUGAUAGAGGGUUAGGCUAGCUAUUUAGUCGUUAGUGUGGUAUCUAAUUAGAAUGGUAUGAAAGGGGAGAAUGUACAUUGUACGAAUACGUUGCUGUCCUUGAUUUCAAUCAAUGAGUAUCACAAAGAAGUUUGUGGCUUCCAUUCAAUAAGUGGGAGGUGAAGAGUUAAAGAUUUCUUUAUUGUUCUACACUUCUACUGUUUUCUGCAUAGCAAAGAGAAAAUGUUCUGGUAAAUGUCUGAACUUUUCACUCUAGCUGAAGAUGUCGAGACUAUACUUCUUUGACAGGGAGACAUACAUUACUUCAUGGGAUCUGUUACUUUGAGAUCUCUGUUUGUAACCAUAUGCAGCUACCUCAAGUCAUAACCUUGUAAUACUAAUACUAAUUUCAGUACACAAAUCAUAUAACAGAAAAGUCCUUACUGGUCGUUUGAGCUACUAUUGGAAUGGCUUCUGAUUUGUGAAGGCCUCAGCUGAUCUCUUUGCAGGGUUAGAUUCUCUGCUACCAAAAUACAAGUGUAAAGACAAACAAUACACUUGCUCAUCUACAAUCCAACCCAUCUGAAGCAAAUUUAAUUUAGGGGAAUUUUCAAAUACACCCAAUUUUAAAGAGUGGUUUUAAAUAAAACCCACCUAAUAUUACUAUCUGAUAGACAUCUAAAAUGUAUCAAUUAUGAUAAAUAUUAUGUCAUAUUUUUUCUAAAUUUUACACAAUUGCCACCAUUCAACUAUAACAUAUUAAUAUAAUAAAUAAGCUUAAUUGAUAUUGUCUUAUUUACCUUAAUUAUGAGUUUUUCUUCUAACACUAACAUUUUUCAAUCAAUUUGCAAGAAUCAUGUAGUUUUCUUUAUUUUUAUGAAAAAAUCUAGAUUAAAGGAAUUCAUUCUCUAAUCUAUACAUAAGGUAAAAUAUAAUAUGAAUAAGAUAUCUGAUCUAAACCCUAAACCCUAUACCCUAUACCCUAUACCCUAAACCAGUGGCGGAGGCAGAAACUAUAUGACUGAGGGCACAAUUUAAUGAUCACAAAAAUUUUCUUUGAGAAAUAAGUAUAUAGACACCAUAUAGCUUUCCAUAUUUGAAAGUGCAUCAAUUCAAUUCAGCACAAAAUGUAUAAAAAGGUUCAUAUAUCCAUCUACUACAAAAAAAUUGUUUCCGUCACAAAAAACAACUAAAACCAGAAACAAUAGGGCAGAUGUACCUAUAGUUGUCCUCGACGAGGUGCCAUGUUUUGAAAUCGCUGAAUUAUAACUUCAUUGUCAAUGGCAUUGAACACAUCUUUCUCAAGGUACACUGUUAAGCUAUCAUUCAACCACUGAUCUCCCAUUCGAUUACGCAUUCGAUUCUUUAUGAUGUUCAUGGCAGAGAAUGCCCUUUCAACUGUGGCUGUUGCAACUGGAAGUACUAGUGCCAAGGUAAUGAGCAGAUAUACAUAUUGAUAAGUCUUAUGCUUUCCUGUCUCAACAAGUUUCAGUGCUAGAUCAGAUAUUCCAUGCAUGUUUUGAAACUUAGAGUUAGACUGCAUAUCAUCAAUGUAAAUAUCAAGUUGUGACUCUAGUAUCAACAAAUCCGAUGUAGAAAAAUCAGCCGGAUAUAAGUGAGCAAGAUGCAUCAAACGUUCCUUGUUAAAACAAGAAAAUGUAUCAUUCGGACUUAAACAAGCAAGGCAGAGGAGUAGCUCUGUAUUGGCCUCAUUGUAAACGAUUGUUCAACUCUUGUAGUUGGAGAUCUAUCACAGCACAAAAGAAGUCAAAACGAUAAUAGUGCAAAUUUGUGAUUUCUGGACUUUUACGCUUGGAUUUCCAUGGACAUAGAAGCUGCUCACUCAUGUUAGGAACCAUGAUAUUUUCUUUCCCACAAAACACAACAACUUGAUCUAGUAAAGAAUCCCAUCCAUUAUCCCUCAUAUCCUGCAAUUUUUUCUUGCAUAUUUUUACUAAAUCCAUUGCAUUUACUAUAUCCUGAUCAUCUCUUUGUAAGGCUUGCGACAGUUCAUGACUAAUUCCAAGUACAAUCCUCAUCAAGUGUAAGCUAAAUAUGCAAUCAAAAGAUUGUAACAGCCCCAACGAAAUAAAUGCAUCAUGUUUCUGAUCAGAGCCUACUUUGUCAAAUGCAACUUCAUCUAGCACAUCAAUUAUGGAAGAAAACAUGGCAGUAAAGUUUAUGAGUGUACCAUAAUGUGAGCUCCAACGUGUAUCGACUGAACGUUUAGGCUCAAGUUCUUGAUUUAACCCUCUUCCACUUGGAAGUUCUCCAACCUCCAAUGCUUUAAUAACUUUAAGAGCUUGCUUUUCUCGUAAAAUGUCACGACGUUUGGAGGAGGCCCCAACAAUAUUCACAACUUUAGCAAUAGAAGUGAAAAAAGCACCUACAAUGUCAUAUUUUUUUGCUACAGCCACCAAGGCUAACUGAAGUUGAUGUGCAAAACAAUGAACAUAGAAAGCACUCGGAUUCUCCUUCAAAAUAAGUGUCUUCAAUCCGUUCAGUUCCCCACUCAUAUUACUUGCUCCGUCGAAGCCUUGACCACGCAAACUUGAUGUGCUUAAACCAUGUUUACAAAGCAAUGCAUCUAUGGCUUCUUUAAGUGUCAUGGAAGUAGUAUUGGCAACAUGCUGAAUUCUAAUAAAACGCUCAAUUACAGAACCCUUCUUAUCCACAUACCGAAAAUUACAGCCAUUUGCUCUUUCACCGAAACAUCUCUAGACUUCAUCAACUAUAAUAGAGAACAAUGCAUUACCCAUAUCUGUAAUUAUAGCCUUUGUAGUUUCAAUUGCAGCAGCAUGAACUAUCUCUUUUUGGAUCACUGGUGAUGUCAUUUUGAGAUUUUCAGGAGCAUUUUGCAAUACAACAGCUCUGACUUGUUCAUCAUGAUCAGCAAGAAAUUGUAAAAGCUCUAGAAAAUUACCUUAAUUACUUGAAUUAUCGGAUUCAUCAUGGCCUCGAAAUGCAAGACCUUGUCUUAGAAGAAACCGAAUACAAUCUACUGAUGCAGUAAGCCGAAUUCGAUAUGAUGUUCUUGGAUUGCUUAGCAUUCUUGUCUAUGAUGUUUCGAAUGUGUUGUCUCUCAUUCAUGAGGUCUUCACACUUUCUCAAAGCUUGGUUAUGGGCACUGUUGAGGUCACCAACAUGAGCAUGUAACCUUUUCUUGUCCUUCCAAUUUCGAUAACCUGUUUGAGUAAAAACAUCACCUCCUCCUUGUCCUCCUGUAUUUGUUUUAAAUAAGUAGCAACACAAACAAUAUGCAGCAUCCUGUUCUAUACUGUACUCCAACCAAUUAGGAAAAUCAUCAAACCAAGCAGAGUUAAACUUCCUUUCCUUAACUCCAAAUGAAGACUUACGAAAUUUGUGUUCUUUAGGCUGACGAGGACCUCUCUGUAAAUAUUCUCUUCGAACUUGGUCUCUUAUUUUUGGAUCAUAGUUUGAAAUACUCUUUCGUAAUCCAGGAUCAGAAGGAAGAUCAGCCAAGUUUAUCUCUACCCCAACACUGAUGUUCUUUGGUACAAAGUCUGAUUUUCUUUUAAAGAAUCUUUCCAUGACUUUACAGAAUUCACAACUGCAUAAGAUAAUCACAAUAAGCUAAACCAGAAGACUAGAAUUCUAGAUUCAUAUGACUGAUAUGAGAAUUGAGAUUCACAAAGCAUGAAAGCAGUAAAACGAUAAUAAAAAUCAAUAAGAGAAUAUCAUGUGGUCUCUAACCUGUAGCAACUAGCACUUGAAGACAAAUCAAUGAUCACUAGUUCACAACCUCAUCACCAACUCGUCAUCAAUCACCAUCACUCCAUGACUCCAUGUCUCCAUCAGUCCAUGACCAGACCAAAGAAAUUCAAGAGGGCAGGGAGGGAGAACAAAGACGACAGCAACUUCUUCUAAGAAGAAUAGGAACAGAACCCCAAAAAUUCUUUAACUAUCAAUUUAGGUUUUAUUAAAUCACUUGGGCUUUAUAAAUAUAUAUGGGUAAUGGGCUGUUUUUUGUUUGAGUGGUUUGGGUAAUGGGCUGUUAACUUCUUUUAAUUUAGUUAAUACAUGUAAAACUAUAAAGAAUAUCAAUUUCACAUGAGGCACAAUUGAUCAAAGUGAACUAACAUACAAAGUUGACUGCAGGCACAGGCCAACGCUGGCCCUGUAUUGGCUCCGCCCCUGCCCUAAACCCUAAACCCUGAACCUAUACCCUAAACCCUAUGCCCUAAACCCAAUUUUGGGUUUCUUCUUUUUAGGUAUAUUAUCAUAUCAUGCCCUAUUUAAAAGGUACAUUAGAAACGUAAUUAGUAGAGAGUAAAAUGUUCUCUCAAUUAGGAUGAGAAAUGAUAUAAUAAUAUACCUAAAAAGAAGAAAAUUAAUCAAAGAACAAGAACGUGUACCUUACAAUUAGACAUUUUUCGACUAUGUAGAGAGAUACCAAAUGUGAGCUUAAGAAUGAAAAGUAUCAUCCUAUUACAAAUGACAUACUUCUGUAUAUAGCAUAUAUAUAUACACACUCAAGUUAGUAAUAACAAUGUAAGAAAUUAAAGAAUGUAAUUGAUUAUGACAAAGUUAAAUCUAACUAAAUUUUAGUUAGUAUUUGAGUUUCAAAUUGAUGCUAAAAUUGAGAAAUAUACCAAAUUUAGCUUUCUAUUGUCUAAAGGGCAAAUUAGAGAAACCGAAAAAUGAAGAAAACUAUUAAUUAUAGACAUUUGCUCUAUAAAGUAUGUUUGCUUAUGUGAAAUGGGUGUAAAAUAAAAGAAAAAUAUAUAUGAGUUUAUUUUAAAAAAAAUCUAGUAUUUUAGAUUUUUAUCUGAUUUUCUCUUUAAUUUAUUUAUGAUGCUUAUACUUCUAAUGUUCCCCUGUACACUUUAUACUUUUACAUAACUAAAUAUAACAUCUAAAUAUCCAAAUUAUUUCUUUAGGCCAUACACGAAACUAUGAGUAUGAAACUUUAUGGGCACAGUGAUCUGAUAAAAGAUUGGGACUGAAGUCGGUCAGAUGUUACAUUCAUGCCGGAAAAUAAGACUCAAGGCACCAUUUUCUAAGGUUGUGAUUCUUGGAUGAGAUUCAGAUUUUUUUUGUUACGUUGUUGACAUGAUGACUAACCAACCCACACAUGACACAUGCACGUCGUAUAUUCAGGAUAGUCAUUCAUCACGACAUGAAGUCCUCCACUAUAUUCCAACGUGGAUUUGUUUAUAUGUUUGAAGCGACAGAUACCAACACAAAGAAUCCCUACCUCAUUUUACUACUACUUUCUAGGAGUGAGCUUUCACUAUUUCUCGGCACACAUUUCUGGUCCAGUUAGCUAGCUUUUCUUCCUUUUCAGCCAAACUUCAAAUGGAUGAUACGCAAAGUUCUCCCUUGCUGAGCAUCAAGGCUUCACCGGAACCCGAUUAUGCUCCGGUGAAGACCUUUCAGGAGGGCAUGUCAGUUUGUUGGAAGGAGACUGUGAAGCUGUGGAAAGUUGCAGCUCCGGUGGCUUUCACGACUCUCUUUCAGUUCCUCAUCCAGUCUGUCACCACCAUCUUCAUCGGACAUCUCGGAGAUCUUGAGCUUUCUGCUAUUUCUCUUGCUCAUAAUGUCAUCAACGCUAUUGCCUAUGGCUUCCUGGUAUGUAUUUGCAUCUCUCUCUUCCUUUGAUCAAUCAUUAUUUGACUUCCAUUUGUUUGUUUGUAUGUGACAUGUAUAGUGUUUCUCUCUCGUGUAAGGUUGAUAUCCACAGGUUUGGACUUGGUCUAACAAAAAGUCUAAAUUGGCAAAAAUUGAUAAUACGCCACAGUAAAUUUUCUCAAGAGUGAACUGUGUAAAUUACAUUUUACUCGCAAGAACAUGGUAGUUAACUACAGAGACUAAAUUAACGACAGUAUCACUUUUUCUGUCAUACUAAUUCUCUUCUCAAAAACCAUGUCCGGCCUAUAGUACGUUUAUAUGCAUUGGGUUAACUUUUGUUGUGACCUUACAUGUUUAUGGUGUCUUUCUUGAUUCAUGGGACUUCAUUAGAUAGAUUCCUAUGUCUUUCACUCUUUCUCAGAAAUGGUGGUAAUAGAAUAAGGCACAUCUAGUUAGAACUGUAUAUGUAUGACUUGGUGCAUUUUGAAUAUUGCAGCAAGGUAUGGCAAAUGCACUUGGAACUCUAUGUGGUCAAGCAUAUGGUGCAGGCCAAGUUGAUUCACUUGGCAUCUAUAUGCAGCGCUCCUGCAUUAUCCUAUCCAUCACUUGCUUCCUCCUUUCGUCGAUUUACAUUUUUGCUACUCCAUUCCUAAAGAUUUUAGGCCAACAAGACAGUAUAGCUGAGUUUGCUGGAAAAUAUUGUCUGUUGAUUAUCCCUCAGAUGUUCUCCUUUAUCAUCAAUCUGCCCACCCAAAAGUUUCUUCAAGCUCAGAGCAAGGUGGGGAUCAUCACAUGGAUCUCCUUUGUGGCUCUAGUCACACACACAGGACUUCUUUAUCUCUUCAUUAGCGUACUCGGCUGGGGGGUGAAUGGUGCAGCUGUUGCUUAUAAUAUCACAUUUUGGGAAGUUGCAGUUGGUCAGUUUAUGUAUGCUGUGUUUUUUUGCAAAGAGGGUUGGAGUGGAUUUUCAUGGUUAGCUUUCAAAGACAUUUGGGCUUUUGCUAGGCUGUCCCUGUCCUCAUGUAUGUUCUUUUGCCUAGAGAUGUGGUACGUUAUGAGUCUCAGCAUUCUUGCCGGGCAACUUGAAAAUGCAGUGAUUGCUCUUGGUUCCUUUUCUAUAUGGUAAGAGCUUCACAACUUCCUUGUCUUCUUAGCAUUGUGUACAUGUGAUGAUGAGUCUAAAAUGCUCUUGGUUUUUCAUUGUUAGCUUGAACUUUCAGAGCUGGGAAGUCAUGAUUUUGACAGGAAUAAAUGCGGCUAUAAGGUUAUUAAUGCUGCCUAUGUUUAUGUACUGUUUCCAUUUUUGGGGUGAUGUUAGCUAACAUAUAUAUUCAUAUCCUUGUUAAUAAUCUAGCAUUCGAGUCUCGAAUGAACUAGGGAUGGGGCAUCCCAGAGCUGCCAAAUACUCCAUAUGUGCUGCAGUCGUACAAUCCCUCAUCGUUGGGAUCGUGUCUAUGACUUUUGUCUUCAUAAGUAGAGACUACAUUGCCAGUGUUUUCACAGACAGCAAAGUCAUCCAGCAAGCUGUUGCUCGUUUAGCAUACUUUGUUGGUAUAACCAUGCUUCUUGCUAGUGUUGCACAAGUUUUAACAGGUAAGUUUAGAAUGACUUCUUUGAUAUCAUUUUAUGUAUAGAGCUUCAGAGUCCCCAUUUCAUUUGCAGGUGUUGCUAUUGGAAGUGGAUGGCAAGUGAUGGUAGCUUAUAUAAAUUUGGCUGCUUAUUACCUAUUUGGUCUCCCACUUGCAAUCUUUCUUGGAUUUAAAGCCAAUUUGGGUUCAAUGGUAUCAGUUCAUGAUCUCUAUCUUCCUGCACAAAUAAUGUUACAUAUAAACAGUAUUUUACUUAAUUUUGGAUUUCACAACUUAGGGACUAUAUGGUGGCAUGAUAAGUGGAAGUGCUCUUCAGAUCUUAUUCCUAUUGAUUAUGACUUCCAGAACCAACUGGGACAAGGAGGUAAGUAAAUCAAGUAGAAUAUCAUUUACAAAUUCAUUUCCUCUGUAUUGUUAUUCAACUUAUGAUCGGAUUCCUAUAAUUUUCAGGUCGAGCAGACGACUAAGCGCAUAAAGAAAUGGGGGAGCAAGGAAAUAAGAACUGAGAAGAUAGGUUGCUGAUAGUAGUAUAUGAAAUAAAGCUACUCACUCUUGCUGCAUAGAUUUAAGGUGAAACUCAGGUAUAAGUUCCUUAGUUUAUUUCUCGAAUAGUAUAGGCUCAUCUCUCAAUAUGAUCUGCCACACUCAUGUCUGUGUUUGAAACUUUGAAUAUCAAAGGGCAAGCUGAGCAGCUGAUAAAAUGCGGCCAGCUUAAGGAGGUUGAGUGAGGUUUAAAAGCAAGCUGUUUUGUGGUUAAUAAUGUGUUUAUUAAUUAAUUAGUUAAUUAGAAUAGUAGCUAGUAAAGGAACAAUAUAUUUACAUUGUGUUAAUACAAUUUAGAACUAAUAUAUAUACUGCAUCCUGUGAGGAAAAAAUGUAAAAGAACAUGUUCUGGUGAAUGUGUAAACUUCCCUUUGAGUUGAAUAAGAGAUUACCUCAUUGGGAUAUAUAUGUUAUAAGACCUGUUACUGUGAGACCUCAGUUUGUAACAUUAACUGCAGCCAGCUAGCUCAAGUACCUCGUUAAUAAUACUACAAAUUUCAUUACAGAAGUCAUAUACAACUACAAAGUCCUUGCUGCAUGAAGCCAGCAUUGGCUUCUGAUUUGUUAACAUCCCUGGUCAUUAAAUUUAACCCAUCUGAGCCUGAGGACUGUGGCCGGUGAGUAGCUCCGAUGAGGUGAUUUUUCUAAGAAAUUGCAGCUUCAGUUGCAAUUCCAGUACUUGAUUAUUCAAAUUUCCGUCACCUCCAUCUUUGUAGGCCAUCUCAGAGACCUUGAGCUCUCUGCUUUCACAAUGUCAUUGCCAACAUCCCCCAUGGUUUCCUAGCCUGGCUUGCAUCUCUAUCAAUAUAUACCUUUCCAAAUCAUACAGUUGAUGUCCGACACACCUACAUUUCUUUCACAAACUAGUUAGCAAAUCAUACAGUUUGAGGUGUGUUUUCCUGGAACAUCAGUUACUGUGAUCAAAUAAAAAAGGGCAGCCUUGACUCAGUUCAUGAUGUCGGAGAUAAUUGAAGGACUGGUGGGGAUUUGUAUUUUAGUUUAAAAGGUGGGAUAGAAUGUAGAAAUCUAAUUAUAUAUUUGUAUGAACAUAGUUAUGUACUGAAUAAUAUAUUCUUCAACAAAUAGUGACAUUGACAAAGAAUUUGAGGCCUGCUUAACCAUAUGGUGGGAUCUCAUGCUUUUAUUUCAUUCCAUUAUAUAUAUUAGAUUUGAAAUCAGCAAGGAUCGGAUAUUACUAUAUUUAGUAUUUUCUGGUGAAGAAUCUUAUUCAAGCAUAUAUUUGGGGUCUAGAAUUGCACAAAAGAUGUCGAUAGUUAAGACGGAUAUAAACCUGUGUGAGAUCUCAGAUUUAGACGCAACUACACGUUGUUUGCUUUGUAAUAUUAAAUGUAGCUACCUCAAGAACUUGUAGUAUAACUUGGAUUUGUACUAAUGUCAGAUCAUAUGACAUGUAGUCUUCACUGCUUAGAGCUAUCAGUGGCUAUCUGAGUUGUGAACAUACCGGCCAGCGCGCUGAUCUUAAUUUCUUUGCUACCAAAAUGGAAACACAGACAGUACCGUUGCUGAUCAUCAAACGUAAACCAGAUGAGACUGAAGACUAUGCGCCAGUGAGUAGCUUUGAGGAGGCCAUUUUAGUCUUUUGGAAAGAGAGGUGAAGCUGUGGAAGAUUGCAGCUCCAGUUGCAAUAACAAUGUUGUUUCAGUACUUGAUUCAAUCUGUCACCACAAUAUUCGUAGGCCAUCUCGGAGACCUUGAACUCUCUGCUGUUUCACUUGCUCACAAUGUCAUUGGCAACAUCUCUUAUGGUUUCCUGGUUUGCAUCUAUCUCUAUAUCCCUCCUACUAAUCAUAAAUCGUACACAGACACACCUGCAUUUGUUUUACAGACAAGUUAGCGUUAGACUGCGCCUUACUACAUAUGUUACUAUCCUAUGUUUGGGAUCUUUAACACAUUGUGACAGUUCCAUACCUCCAUAGAACAACAUUUAGUACUCCUAUAUUUGAUUUUCUGCGAGAAACUAAGAAAAAGUGAUUGAAUAGUUAUUGUACAAUGUCUAUGUAUGUAGCAAGGUAUGGCAAUUGCAUUGGGAACACUUUGUGGUCAAGCAUAUGGUGCAGGCCAAGUUGGUUCACUUGGUAUCUAUUUGCAGCGCUCAUGGAUUGUCCUAUCCAUCACUUCUGUGAUCCUUUCAUCAGCUUAUAUAUAUGCAACUCCAAUCCUAAUGAUCUUAGGCCAAGACCCUCGUAUAGCUAACCUUGCCGGAAAAUAUAGCAGGAAGAUUCUUCCUGAAAUGUUCUCUUCUACUCUCAAUUUGUCCACCCAAAAGUUCCUUCAGGCUCAAAGCAAGGUAGGAGUGAUCACAUGGAUGGCCUUUGCAGCUCUCAUUGCACAAACUGGACUUCUUCAUCUCUUCAUCAACAUUUUCGGAUGGGGAUUAGAUGGUGCAGCUGCAGCUUACAACAUAACAAAUUGGGGAAUUGCUAUUGGUCAAGGUGUGUAUUGUGUGUUCUGGUGCCAAGAGGCUUGGAAUACUGGAUUUUCAUGGUUGGCAUUUAAGGACAUAUGGGCUUUUGCAAAGCUUUCCUUUGCUUCAUGCUUCAUGUUUUGCUUCGAGUGAUGGUAUGUCACGAGUGUGAACAUUCUCGUCGGUGUUCUUCCCAAUGCAGUGAUUGCUCUUGGUUCCUUUUCAAUAUGGUAAUAUAGCUAGAUCCUUCAAUUCAAUACAGAACAAGUUCUGUUUGCUAUAUAUUUGUGAUCAUUACCUCAUCAAGUAUAUUAUUUGUUUCUCUCAAUUAGCACCAACUUUCAGAAUUGGGAGCUCAUGUUGUUAGUCGGAAUAAAUGCUGCCAUAAGGUAAAUGCUGCACUUUUCUUGUAAAUUUGUGUCACAUAUGAUCAUUGUGUUCACUAAAUGUAUAUAUCAUUCCCUAUCUAUCUGCAGCAUUCGAGUCUCCAAUGAACUAGGGAAGGGGCACCCAAGAACCGCAAAGUACUCAGUUUGUGUUGUUGUCUCACACUCUCUCGUGGUUGGGAUCUUGUUCAUGAUUACUAUCUUCUUAACUAGAAACUACAUUCCCAUCAUCUUCACAGGCAGUGAAGAUAUGCAACGAGCUGUCGCUCGUUUAGCAUAUCUUCUCGGAGUAACCAUGCUUCUAAACAGUGCUACACAAGUGUUAACUGGUAUAUAUAGUCUCUCUAGUACUGUGGCCUAAUUCUGCUCACUUCCAAAGUUUUAGUGAUCAUGCAAUUUCUUGGUAUUUUUUUGUUUGCAGGUGUUGCUGUUGGAGGUGGAUGGCAGGUGAUGGUAGCUUAUAUAAAUUUGGGUUGUUACUAUCUGUUUGGUCUUCCACUUGCGAUCCUUCUUGGGUUUAAAGCAAAACUGGGUGCCAUGGUAAUACUCACUUUCACUCAUUUCCUUCUUUUAAUUAAAAGUAAUUUUCAGUUCUGCUUAGACUGUGUGAUAUAUUCUGGUUUAAAUGUACAUGUAUAUAUAGGGGCUAUGGGGUGGCAUGAUGAGUGGUAGUGCUCUUCAUAUCCUAUUCCUACUGAUUCUGACUUCCAGAACCAACUGGGACAAUGAGGUAUAUAGCUAGAAACCAAAUUUGCAAACAACUAGCUAAGCAUACAUUUUACUAUUUGGUUUUACAAAAAAAAAAACACAUUCUACUAUUUGAUUUUUACUUCUUUUAUCUACGUUUCACUAAAGUUUCAAUCAGAGUAAGGAUACAAGUAACUCAUCUCAUAUCUCGCUUAUCAAAUCAAGACUCGAGGCAUAGACUACACAUUGUGAUGAUUGAAUCUAUAUGUAUUGCAGGUGAAGGAAACCACAAAACGCAUAAAGAAGUGGGGGAACCAAGAGAAGAGAACUGAUCAAGAAGAUAACUUGCUGAAAUUGUAAUGUAACUGAAGUAUAAUUUCUCCUUGCUGCUUCCUAAAAUAAACAAAGUAUUUACCUUAGUAUUGCUUAGGGUCUGGGCUUGUUCUCUUGGUUCUCGAUCUCUUUGCGCUAUAUACUAGUCGACCCAACAAAACAAGAGGAUGUACGUAUACCUAAUUUGACAUUAUUGUUUUUCAUGAUUGCGAGAUUACUAAGAACUUUGCAAGAGACGACUUAUUUAGAACUAAGUAUCCAUUGUUCUAUAUUGCAUUUCAUAUGUUGUAACCAAAAGAAAAAAAAAAGAGAGAGAAAUUGCAUUUCAUAUGUACAAAAAAUCUCUCACACGUUAAGUUUUACAUGAACUUGCGAUCACCCAUUAUAGCCAUGAUACUUGAUUUCUAAUUCCUCUCCCUGCAGCUCAUUCUUUUUGUUUGAACUUUGAAGGGUAGCUUAGCUCUCCUCCUGUCACCAUCAACCUCAAUAUCACGUACUUUUUCGGUUAUUCAUUUCUUAUCAACCACGCACUUUCAAAAAAAAAAAAA
rnacentral:lncRNA from 1 species